GGGCACUCUAAGGUGACUGCGGCUAAAAGUCGGAGAAGUGGGGAUGACGUCAAAUCAUCAUGCCCCUUAUGACCUGGGCUACACACGUGCUACAAUGGGCGGUACAAAGGGUCGCGAACCCGCGAGGGGGAGCCAAUCCCAAAAAAGCCGCUCUCAGUUCGGAUUGCAGGCUGCAACUCGCCUGCAUGAAGCCGGAAUCGCUAGUAAUCGCGGAUCAGCAUGCCGCGGUGAAUACGUUCCCGGGCCUU
rnacentral:rRNA from 1 species